rnacentral:lncRNA from 1 species
CACCCAACAAACUGAGGAGAACCAGGCAGUUUUCUGAUCAGAGUUCAGAUAAGGAAGGUCACAGUAAUUUGCGGGCACUGACUAAAAUAACCCCAUGGAUGGGAGAGUUACCACGUAAGCAAACUAAAAAGAACUGCAGCGCGGAGCAUCUGUGAAGACUUCUGCAGACUAUAUUUCAGGCGUUCGAGAGUGCGCGCUGCAUCAAAAUCCAACCAAUAGCAGGGGGGAGCCUUGCCCUCCUUUGCCUCUGUUUGUUCCCCCUACCUGAAGCAAGGGUGUGCUGCAGCUGCAAGGUGACCGCCCAACGCCCUCCAGGCCCCGCCUGCCCUGCUCCAACUGCAAAAACAUAAAGCCAUUUCAUUUUCAGUACUAUGGCUUGAACCCAGAGGCUCAUGUAUGCCAAGGACGCACUCUACCUCUGAGCUACACUCCAACCCUCAUCUCCUUUCAAAAUUCAUCUUUGAGAGACAUGCAGACAGGACUUGAGCUUAUAAACUUAUCGCCUCAGCCUCCUGAGUGGCUGGGAUUGCAGGCAUAUGCCACCAUACCAGACUAACUUGGAUUGACAACCUUGUUUGUCAUGGCUACUGGUUUGUGAACAUCAAAUGAACUUUUGAAGCAGAAGUGGUAUUGAAUUAUACCAGGACAAGAGGUGUGGGUUUUGGCAAUCAUUGCCAACUAAGGUGUGUGUGGCUCUGCUUUCCUUUCUCAUAAUUGUGCUUGCUCAGACUUGGUCAAUUUAAGG